UUCCUCAUAAGUUUGUCGCAGCUUGGAGCCUUUCUUUCUCCGCUUUUUAAACCUUUCACCUGAUUAACUUGUAUAAGGUUAAAGGUUAAAGUGUUUUGUAAACACUUUAACAUCAGUUUCUUCCCUUACAUUUAUACUUUUAUUACUUUAUACCGUAUGGACGCAUUUUAAUCCCGGAAUAGAUACGAUAAGGUCUCCAGUCUACUAUGGAUGAGGAGAGAGAAGAGGGGGGUCCUACCUCUAAGACCACUCUGUCUGGGGAACAUGGCCGCCGGAGCAAAGCUAAGAGCCCAGAGCAGCAGCAGAGAGCAGACUCCCCUGGACCCAGCUGUGUCUCCAUGAAGAGUGACCGCUCUAUGGAUGUACCAUUGGUGUUUAAAGAUGGACGUCCCUCCAGAGAGGAGAGACACCAGAUGACGUCAAAGGUUACCAGUGCUCAGUCUCUGCCACAUCAAACAGAGCUGAU